GGCUAUCAUACAGAGAGGCUGGUGAACGAGUACAGCCAAAUCUCAGCCGGGACACAGUGGCAUCCAUUGUCCGUAUUUUCAGAGAAACCAACAGGAUUCAACGUCUACCUCCCUCAGGGGGCAGAGGAAAGCUCCUGAAUGAAGAACAGGAACGUGCUAUUGUCAACAUGGUGAUUGCUGACAAUGAAAUAAAACUGAAGGACAUUCAGUCCAGAGUUGUAGAGGACAACCUUGUCUUUGGGAACAUUGCAGCAAUCAGCAUAACAUCCAUUUCUCGGACUCUGGCUAAACACAGAGUCCGAAUGAAACAACUAUACAAAGUUCCUUUUGAAAGGAACAGUGAGCGCAUCAAAGAACUCCGUCACCAAUACGUCCAGAGAGUCAUGGAGUUGGAGGCCAAUCAAGUCCCACAUGAA